rnacentral:rRNA from 1 species
AUUGAACGCUGGCGGCAGGCCUAACACAUGCAAGUCGAACGAGUGGCGGACGGGUGAGUAAUGCUUGGGAAACUGCCUGAUGGAGGGGGAUAACUACGGGAAACGGUAGCUAAUACCGCAUACCAUAGGAUGAGCCCAAGUGGGAUUAGGUAGUUGGUGGGGUAAAGGCUCACCAAGCCGACGAUCCCUAGCUGGUCUGAGAGGAUGACCAGCCACACUGGGACUGAGACACGGCCAAGACGCCUACGGGAGGCAGCAGUGGGGAAUAUUGCGCAAUGGGGGCAACCCUGACGCAGCCAUGCCGCGGGAAUGAAGAAGGCCUUCGGGUUGUAAAGUUCUUUCGGUAGCGAGGCGUUAACUACAGAAGAAGCACCGGCUAACUCCGUGCCAGCAGCCGCGGUAAUUC